CCCAGGCUCAGCACAACAACAAACAGGGGACGCUGCUGGGAGCGCGCAGCCCCCGGGAAAGCGCCGAAGGGGGGGCUUUGCAAUGGGACUCCCCAGCAGCAGCAGCAGCUCGACCACCCUGACCCAGACCCUGCGAGCCCCUGGCAAGCUCGCUCAAGCUCGCAGGGGAGAGUGCGGCGAGCUCCUGGACAUCCGCCGUCCCACAACUUCCCUGCGGAGCGGAGGCGAUCCUGGAGUGCGAGAGAACCAUGGCAAAGCACUCCGCAGCAAGGUGUUUCGUGUAAACAUAACCACCUGGCAGAUACGGAUUUAAGACUGGCUGCGAAGCUCAGGCCCGGAAAUCCCCAGAGGCAGCGAAGAAAGAAGGCGGAGGGGAAGUCACUUACCAUCCCUGAACACAGGCUGAUGACCGCAGUGUUCUGCGGCUGGGUAUUCACAUGUCCUCUAUAAAAACAGUGCUUUACGUCGCUGGCCUCCUCGCUGUAAAACCUGGUUUGGUUAACCCCCGGGGCUCCGAGGAGGCUGACCGUGAAACGUGGCGCAAUAAAUCCAGAAUGGGCCGUGAGGUUGAACAGAAACUGCUCCCCGAAGGCGGAAAGCCGGUAGUGUGCGGAGGAGUCGUCGGUGGCCCAAGGGUCCGGGUCAGGAUUAAUACUUCGUCUCUUUCGUUUGAAGUGUACGUGCGUGGGAAAGGGGGCUCCGAAUUCGUUCACACGGGUGGGGGUGACGAUCUCGAACUCGCGGAGUUUCUCCAGCAGUUGGGCUGCAAAGAGGAACAGACACAUGCCCGGUAAAGAAUCGCUCUCUCGCUCAGGUCAGGCAAGGCGUAGCUUUUUCCCACACACUUCUCUUGGAUGAACGCAGCCAGGCCUGGCUCUCUAAAGUUGUAUCUAGCAAGGGGGGAGGAUAGAGGUAGCUAUCCUUACCAAACAAAUCAAUGCACCACUCGGUUGCCUGCAACAGCCACGGGGUGGUGAAGUAGUGGUACUGUAUUUGCAUUGCUGGAGCACCUAGAGACUUUAAUCUAGACCAGGACCCCCACAGAGCUAGGCGCUGUACACAAAAAAAGGCAAUCCCUGCCUCCACCAGCACAAGAAGAAUCCUUAGCUUUUCUAUAAACCCACCAGGGACGGCCAGUUGCCCAAACCCUGCACCCUUCCUCCACUUCAAAGGGGUUUCUAAACUCGGGCUAUUUGCAGCUUCAGAAAGGUUUCAAGGAAAUGAAGACCAUGUUCGGCCGCUUCUGUCCCCCUGCCCUGUGGGCACCGUGUUUUCCCAGCCUGAGAAAGGCGCAAACUUUUUAAAGUUCUGUCACUGGUGACUGAGGGCAAGCCAAGGGAAUCCAUGAAACGGAUACUGCAGAGUGGUAGAAAUACCCCCCCCCCAGGUUAAAAUGCGGUCUAAGAAACGGCCCAAAGAACUGGAAACUUCCCUGAAGGAGCUCGGGAUGCCAAAAGCAUCUUCUUACCUUGUCUUGGAUGCAGCGUCUGCUUCCUCGCUGCUGCGGUGGCUACAUGCAAGACGUCCUGCAGAAAGAGUGUUCCUAAUCCCAGUGCCCAUAGCACCAGCGGCAUGGUGGUGUGAGCGGCUCCUGAACAGAGAGCAGCCUCCCCCCGCCCCCCUUUUAAUUCCACCCCCGCCCCCACCCCUUGCUCCUGCUUCAGAGCUCCCCCCACCCCCCCAACUUCACUUUAUUAAAAGUGGGAACCGCUCGCAUCCGAUUUGUUCCCCCUGGGCUCUGCGGUGACCACAACUGCCAGCGGAGAGCAGAUUAGCAGCGGCAGCAGGAGGAGGAGGGAUGAUCGCGCACGGGGUAUCGGAUACACCAGCAUAGUGUAGUGAGAGGGGCUCGGGAAGGAACAGGGAAGCGCCGGUUGCACUUUUGGUGGGCUGCUUUUUCCUCUCUCUCCCCCCCCCUUCUAGCUGGUGCCCUCGGAGAUCUUGGGAACCAGUUCAGGAGACCGGAGGGGGGCGGUCUCCGGCAAAGCAAAUGCCCAGAGCCCGCCUCUGGAGGAGGGCUCCUCCCUGCUUUCUUAGCGUGUCACUUUCUUCCCUUCCAAGGAAGCUUUUGCUUCUGGUUUUCCAGGGGAAAAGACCUUGCCCGAUUCAGUACCUAGGCCAGGACUCCUUUCCCUGGGAGGAGGGAUGAAGGAGGGAGAGAGAUUUACAAGAAGCUGAACACUGCAGCAAGAAUCUCACUGUACUAAACUCUACCACUGUACUUUGUUCCCUGUUGUGCACUCCCCCCCCCCUCUCAACUUAAAGUUGCCUCAUCAGGAGAAUCUAAUGAUUUCUUUAUUAUUUGUUCUUCUACACCUAGUGACUUUGGCUUUCUGAAAAUAUACGCAGCUCUUAUCGACUUGGAUCAGUUUAUUCCUCCAGGAAUGAAUAGUUCAUCUGAAAAAGAAACACUGUUAAAUGCAUUCAAAGGAGUGAGAAUGAGAGCCUCUCUCUUUAAAAGAAAUAAAAACAGCCAAAUGGAUGUGGCAGCACCCAUACCUUGUAAACAAACUAAUCUCUUUACUUUUGUUUAGUGAAAGUACAAGAACUUUAAAAAUUCAAUUAACUUGCCGCUUUUGGUGCUAUUUGUUUUCUUGUGCAUUUCUCAGAGUUAGGACAAUUAAAAUGGGUGAUGUGGCCCA